rnacentral:lncRNA from 1 species
CGCAGGCGGACUUCCAGUAAGUGAUGGAGACGAGCGCCAGCGCUAUAGCAACAGGCAAUAACGGCUCGUCCGCGUUUCACAGCAGGCGAUUAUCCUGUCAGGCUCCAAGGGAGAGAGCAGCGCACAGUGGCAGGGAAAUUGAAGGGGAGCCUUUCAACCUGUGUUGCUCUCCAGACAACAGGCACCAAAGACAAUUUUUAAUCCCUAGAUAACCUUCCCCUCUUUCACUGCGGAACGAAGCCAUCCAGGCCUGACCUUUCUACGGGAAAUAAGAACUUGUCCAGUCUGUCCACGGAAUAAGACAGAAACUCUUCAGCAGCCCGCCACCUCUAUGGCCCAGGGUUUCAAAUUAAAUUAGCAAAACCAUCACCUGCCAUUCAUCGAUUCUCCCUCCUCCUCCUCUUCCACCCGCCCUCAGUCACUCAAGGAUUUUACGACAAAAGAUCCCCAGGCGAGUCCGCGGUUUCACACUGCAGGAAUCCGUCAGCCCUGGACGGGGUUGGCUGUCCCAUUUCCGUCACAACAAGAACAUUCAUCAGCUACACACUUCUGGCCCAGUUGUGCUUCUUAGGGGUAACAGAUGGUGAUGGAAAUUUAAGAAGGCAUCGCCGAAAGCAGGGAGAUUAAAGAAUGUAUUCUCUACUCAGCCCAGUUAAAAAGACAUCCCCAGGAGAAUGUGUAACUUCUUGAGCAACCCACAAAUUUCUCCAUCCAUAAAUUACACUACAUGUGUAAUAACUGUAACGCUACCCCUAAACUUCAGCUUGUAACCACCACCAAUAACACUAACCUUGACGUAACUUGUAUUCCCGAUUCUUGAUUCCAACCCUCAUCAUUAACCUUAAA